rnacentral:rRNA from 1 species
AGAGGGUGCAAGCGUUAAUCGGGAAUGACUGGGGCGUAAAGGGCGUGUAGGUGGAUAGAUAAGUUAUGUGUGAAAUAUCCGGGGCUUAACCUGGGAGGGGGCCAUGUAAUACUGUCUAUCUAGAGUAGAGCAGAGGGAAGUAGAAUUUCCGGUGUAGCGGUGAAAUGCGUAGAGAUCGGAAGGAAUACCAGUGGCGAAGGCGGCUUCCUGGGCUCAUACUGACACUGAGGCGCGAAAGCGUGGGUAGCAAACAGGAUUAGAUACCCUGGUAGUCCACGCUGUAAACGAUGAGAACUAGAUGCUUGCUCCUAGAGGGUGAGUGUCGAAGCUAACGCAUUAAGUUCUCCGCCUGGGGAGUACGGUCGCAAGAUUA